CGCACACCCCAUGCCUCUAAAUCUGUUAGAUAACUAUCUCUAUUGGUGAUAGUGUUCACUCCUCUAGUUCCUCUAAGAACGUUUGGAUUUGGUCCAAAACUGAAUAGCAAUCUAACGAUGUCUAUUUCAUCUAUAUAUUCUCGAUUGAAUCUCAAGGCGAUAUGGAAAGAUUGUCCUCGUCUGAGAACAGCGGCUGGAGGAUCGAGAUGUACUAAUUCGUAAUUGAUGGUGUGAUGCAAUUUUGCAUUUUCUUUUUCGUAAAGAUACACCAUCUCGACGACCAAUGGCUCUUCUCGUGACAUUUUGUUAAUUUUGAUGUCUGUAAAAGAGAUUGUUGAAAUAUUAAAUUUUUUUGAAGUCUAAUAACUGGAAUGUGAUGAGAAAACAACGUUGGCAAUUGAUUUUAUAAAAGUACAAGAAAAAAUUUCAUUGAUAUACUAAUACUAUUUCUAAUUUAAAAGAAAUGAUACAUGCCAUAGAUGUUUAACUCCUCAAGAAUUUCAUUUACAAAUGCUGUUGUAUGAAUCGUAAUAAGACCUGUUUACACGUGGAAGGUGAAAAUGAGAAGCUGAAAGAUCGUGGACUCACCUGUCGUUACAUCUCAAGGUCGCGUGGCUCGGACUUCUCGGAG